UUUUAUAUCAACUUGUAAAUAUACCGUAAAUACUUUUUUCACAUAAUGUGGCAAAAGAGAUUGGACAGUUGUUUUUUUAAUCAUCACCGAAGGAGUCAAUGUGAUAAAGGAAACUGUAUUUUAAAAACUAUCGCUGGGAUUCGGGAAGUACAGAGUGAAAAAGCAACUUAUUAUAGAUUUGAAAAUAAAUUAUACUUUUAUAGAAAAGACAUCGUCUCAUCUAUGUCAUUCAGAUGCCGAGUCAGAGGAUGUUCAGGCUCAAUCAAUCUGAAUUUCAAAGAUGAGUCGAUUUUUCAUGUACAUAGUUGUGAAAUAGAUGCGGAUGAGUUUGAAAAUAAGAUAAAAUUGCAUAACAGUAUUAAGUUAAUUUCGAAAGAAAAAUCAUUUUUGACAGCAACGAAGAUUGCGAAAGAAGCUGAAAAUGAAUUUCCUGAUAUAGUAACUAAUUGUUCUCGAGAAGCUCUAAAGAAGAUGGCUACUCGUGAGAAAAUCAAAUUAUUAAGUCAUACUCCAAAAACUAUAGCAGAGCUAGGAAAAAUGUAUAACACUUCUGAAUCUUCUGGUGUUCCCGGCCAUGAAUAUUAUCGGGGUCACUUAAUUACAAAAGAUGACCAGGAAGUAAUUCUUUUUGCUGGUGACGAGUCGAUCAAUUUUAUGAGAACGCUCGGUUUGCCUCCAAAUCGAUGGAAAUUUUAAAGCCAUUCCUCGACACCAGAAAAAUCGGUACUUCAAUGCCAGACAGCUUUUUGUAGUUUGUGGUGAACUGACUGAAGAGGGUGAAACGAUUCCUUUAGCAUAUGCGCUCUGCAGUGGAGCCAAAACAGAUAUCUACAAAUUUAUCAUAGAAAAUUUGAAAAAACUAACAGGCGG